CGUCCUCGCCGCCGGCCGUGCUCGUGCCCGCCUGGAAGCAUCCCUCCCGCCGGCGUCGUCCACCAGCGGGCGCACCCCUCCCCCGACGUCGUCCUCCAGCAGGCGCACCCCUCCCCCGACGUCUGCUUGCUCCUGCAGUCCUGCUCCCCUCCCCCGACGACUUCUUCAUCUCCUCGACUCCUCCCUUAGCGGCAGCCCCAGGUGGCAAGGAUGUCAACAACAGAAACAGAUACUGCAGCUGCUGCACCUGCACCUGAGAAUGAAGGAGUAAAUCUCUUGAAAAGGAAUUCAGAUGAUGUGGGAUGGGAAUACGGGGUUCUUGUUGAUCCUAAGAACAAGGACAAGGUGAAGUGCAAAUUCUGUAACAAGGUGAUGCAAAUUCUGCACCUGCACCUGUGACUGUUUUUCUUCUUUUCUGAGAACUAUGUGUUGUCUGAACAAGACCUUUUAUGAAUUGUGUUGUGCACUUGUACUGCUGUCC